GGCUACAGCCAUUCCACCCUGAACCCGCCCCAUCUUGUCUGAUUUCAGAAGCUAAGCAGGGUCGGGCCUGGUUAGUACUUGGAUGGGAGACCAAACGUUCCAUGGAGUACUUGGAAAAGAACCCU
rnacentral:rRNA from 1 species